GACGAACGCUGGCGGCGUGCUUAACACAUGCAAGUCGAACGGAAAGGCCCCUUUGGGGGUACUCUAGUGUCGAACGGGGGAGUAACACGUGAGUAACCUGCCCUUGUCUUCUUGAUAACUUCAGGAAACUGGGGCUAAUACCGGAUAGACAUCCUUGCUGCAUGGUGGGGGUUGGAAAGCUUCUGCGGUGUUGGGUGGACUCGCGGCGUAUCAGCUUGUUGGUGGGGUAGUGGCUUACCUAGGCUGUUACGGGUAGCCGGGCUGAGAGGGCGAACGGGCACAGUGGGAAUGGGAACAGGGCCAGAACCCCAAGGGAGGCAGGAGGGGGGAAUAUUGGCACAUGGGCGGAAGCCUGAUGCAGCCACGCCGCGUGCGGGAUGACGGCCUUCGGGUUGUAAAACGCUUUCCGCAGGGGAGAAGCUUGUGGUGACGGUACCUGCAGAAGAAGCACCGGCUAACUACGUG
rnacentral:rRNA from 1 species